GAUGAACGAUGGCGGCGUGCCCAAUACAUGCAAGUCGAGCGAACGGACGAGAAGCUUGCUUCUCUGAUGUUAGCGGCGGACGGGUGAGUAACACGUGGAUAACCUACCUAUAAGACUGGGAUAACUUCGGGAAACCGGAGCUAAUACCGGAUAAUAUUUUGAGCCGCAUGGUUCAAAAGUGAAAGACGGUCUUGCUGUCACUUAUAGAUGGAUCCGCGCUGCAUUAGCUAGUUGGUAAGGUAACGGCUUACCAAGGCAACGAUGCAUAGCCGACCUGAGAGGGUGAUCGGCCACACUGGAACUGAGACACGGUCCAGACUCCUACGGGAGGCAGCAGUAGGGAAUCUUCCGCAAUGGGCGAAAGCCUGACGGAGCAACGCCGCGUGAGUGAUGAAGGUCUUCGGAUCGUAAAACUCUGUUAUUAGGGAAGAACAUAUGUGUAAGUAACUGUGCACAUCUUGACGGUACCUAAUCAGAAAGCCACGGCUAACUACGUG
rnacentral:rRNA from 1 species